AUAACUUUUAAAUAAAAUAGAUAACUGCGGUUAUCGACUGAAAUAUCGAUAUUAGAGAGAACCCGUUUAUUAUUUGAGAGAGAGAGUAGGAUAAAACUCGUUAGAACUGUUCUUUGAAAAUAACAAAUGGCCGACGUCUUAAGUUGUCAUCAAACUCGUUGAAGAAAAAUAGAAUUAAAUAAAUGAAUGUUAUUCAAGAAAACUAAUAAUUCUUUACCCACAAGUUAUGUUAAAUAAGAAAAUAAAAUUAUCAUCCCACUCACUACGAAAAAGAAAGGAUUGGAGUUCAAUGUGGUAUCUGGAUUAUGGAUUGUCUCUUGUGUUCGGGGCACUAACUAAUUUUCUGGAUUGUCUACAGGAUUCUUCUUACGGGAAAUUGAACUGCUUGUUCUUCGGAAAUAGGGUCUUGGAUGAUCUCGAAGAAGUAUCAGUAGUUCUCGGAAUAGGUUGUAGGAUGAUUCUCUUUUUAUUUUAAUAUCACAUACAUUGGAGUACACGCCAAAUUUCAACAAUGAGUAAAGUUA